GCGAUACUUCUGCAGAUUCGCCCUUAGAGUUUGAUCCUGGCUCAGAGCGACGCUGGCGGCAGGCCUAACACAUGCAAGUCGAGCGCCGUAGCAAUACGGAGCGGCUGACGGGAGAGUAACACGUGGGAACGUACCCUUCAUUACGGAACAACCAAGGGAAACUUUGGCUAAUACCGUAUACGUCCGUCAGGAGAAAGAUUUAUCGCUGAAGGAUCGGCCCGCGUCUGAUUAGCUUGUUGGUGAGGUAACGGCUCACCAAGGCGACUAUCAGUAGCUGGUCUGAGAGGAUGAUGAUCCUCACUGGGACUGAGACACGGCCCAGACUCCUACCGGAGGCACUAAUGGGGAAUAUUGAACAAUGGGGGCAGGCCUGAUCCAGCCAUGCCGCGUGAGUGAUGAAGGCCCUAGGGUUGUAAAGCUCUUUUGUGCGGGAAGAUAAUGACUGUACCGCUCGAAUAAGCCCCGGCAUACUUCCUGCCAGCAGCCGCGGUAAUACGAAGGGGGCUAGCGUUGCUCGGAAUCACUGGGCGUAGAGGGUGCGUAUGCUGGUCAUUAAGUCACGUGUGAAAUCCUGGAGCUCAACUCCAGAACUGCCUUGGAUACUGAAGAUCUUGAGCUCGAGAUACGUGAGAGGCACUGCAACUGUAGAUGUGAAAUUCGUAGAUGUACCCACGAACACCAGUGGCGAAUGCGGCUCACUGGGCCGAUACUGACGCUGAAGAACGAAAGCGUGGGGAGCAAACAGGAUCUGAUACCCUGGUAGUUCGCGCCGUAAACGAUUGAUGCCCCCGUAGUUGCGUUACUCAAUAAUGGAGCAGCUACGCUGUUAAGCAUCCGCUAGGGAGUCGUCGCAGAUUACAAUUCAACGAGUGACGGGUCGGCAGCAGUGACAGAUGUUAGUGCACGCACGCGAGGACUUACCAGCUUGUAAUAGCGACGCGGAAUCUAAAUGAAUGCUCAGGUCC
rnacentral:rRNA from 1 species